CGAAUGCUGACAUAAGUAACGAUAAAGCGGGUGAAAAGCCCGCUCGCCGGAAGACCAAGGGUUCCUGUCCAACGUUAAUCGGGGCAGGGUGAGUCGACCCCUAAGGCGAGGCCGAAAGGCGUAGUCGAUGGGAAACAGGUUAAUAUUCCUGUACUUGGUGUUACUGCGAAGGGGGGACGGAGAAGGCUAUGUUGGCCGGGCGACGGUUGUCCCGGUUUAAGCGUGUAGGCUGGUUUUCCAGGCAAAUCCGGAAAAUCAAGGCUGAGGCGUGAUGACGAGGCACUACGGUGCUGAAGCAACAAAUGCCCUGCUUCCAGGAAAAGCCUCUAAGCAUCAGGUAACAUCAAAUCGUACCCCAAACCGACACAGGUGGUCAGGUAGAGAAUACCAAGGCGCUUGAGAGAACUCGGGUGAAGGAACUAGGCAAAAUGGUGCCGUAACUUCGGGAGAAGGCACGCUGAUAUGUAGGUGAAGUCCCUCGCGGAUGGAGCUGAAAUCAGUCGAAGAUACCAGCUGGCUGCAACUGUUUAUUAAAAACACAGCACUGUGCAAACACGAAAGUGGACGUAUACGGUGUGACGCCUGCCCGGUGC
rnacentral:rRNA from 12 species